UCAGAUGCGGUGCGCGCGGGAGUGGUGCGCUGGAGGCUCCCGAGCCCGGGCUCGCCAGCGGGUGACUACGAGCGCCCACCGCUUUGGACAGUCGCAUCUCAGGAGUCCUGACCCUUGAACGCCCACCCCUCUGGGAGUUCCGGGCGUCCUACAAGUUUCUUACUUCGCUGGACGGACGACGGCCUCCGCUGUGGAAAUGACCGUCGGCUGCGUUCACAGAGAAAGCCCGCUGGCCGGUGCCUCGGCAGAUUUUCUGCGUGGUGUUCCUUAGCGUAGUGUUUUCCUCAUCCCAUUUGGAGAGAGUAAUAAUGCCCGUUGGUUAUUAUAGGUGGUGGAGCCUAGCGGUUUCCGAGCUUUUUGUUUUUGUUUUUUAAAAAACUCUCAACUGUCUGCCUCAGCGUUGUCAGAUCGAACUCUCUGGGAUGAGGGAAAUAUUCUACAUCUGCGUUAUUAAGGCAGCCACUGGACACAUUUAUGAUGUUGAGCCGGCUGAGGAACUGAAUUUUAAAUUUUAUUUAAUUUAGGGCUGGGCGGGGUGGCUCACGCCUGUAAUCCCAGCACUUUGGGAGGCCGAGGCAGGAGAGCGCUUGAAGCCAGGAGUUGGAGGCGAAACCCCGUCUCUACUAAAAAUACAAAAAUCAGCCGUUGGGCGUGGUGGCGCAAGCCUGUAGUCCUAGGUUGAGCGGGGAGGAUGGCUUGAGCCAGGAGGUCGAGGCUGCAGUGAGCCGAGAUCGCACCACUGUACUCCAGCCUUCGCGACAGAGUGAGACCCCCAUCUCAAAAAUAAAUAAGUGUUUGACUUAAAUGUAAGUAGCCACAUCUGUGUAGUGGCGACUGUACUUGACGCAAGUCUGGUCCGACAGUGGCCAAGAAGCAGGUUUGCUUGGAACUGAAGGAGUGCUAGGGACGCAGCGCGUUCAGUGCUAAAACCCAGGAAAUCCUGGACAAACUGCUCAACUUCAAACUCCUAUCCAGUUUCUGACAUGCCCGAGGCAAAAGCAGGGAACACUCGAAAAAGCGUCCUGAUACAAGCGUCCUGAUACCGUUGCCAGUCUGUAAAAAGAAUUUAAGCUCAUAAUCUGGAAAACAGUUUUCUGACAAGUAUCUGACCAACCAGCCUGCUGGCUUUCAGACUGGAACUACACAUUAACUCUCCUGGGUCUCCAGCUUGUGGAAUGCAGAUGUUGGGACUUCUUAGACUUCUUAGCGUCCAUAGUCAUGUCUUCAGAGACUAGAUUCUCUGUGCAUCUGAGGAUAACUACUGGCUGAUCUAGUACAGGCAAUAAUGUGACUCUUGGAGUGACGAAUAGACUUCCAUCAAGACAGCCUAUCUGUUGGAUCUUUAUUGGUUUUGAGAAACAGAAACCAACGCAAGUUAACUUCAGCAAAAAGUGAGAAAUUCAAGGAUGAAACCAAGACCACGUCUCAGGAUGGGAUUGGAACUAUGCACCAAACACUUGGUCUGUCCUUGUUCUACUCUACAUGUCUCUAAGUUGUCCCAGGCUUUGUGGUAGAAAAUAUAGCUACACAAACUCCGUUAUUAUUUUAUAUAUAUAUAUAUUUUGAGACAGA